rnacentral:tRNA from 1 species
UCCUCGUUAGUAUAGUUGUCAGUAUCCCCGCCUGUCACGCGGGAGACCGGGGUUCGAUUCCCCGACGGGGAG